GUAAUUCCAGCCUCCAAUAAGCGUAUAUUAAAGUUGUUGCAGUUUAAAAAAGCUCCGUAGUUGAAUUUCGGGGUUAGUAGGUUGGUCAUGCCUCUGGUAUGUACUGGUCUCACUGAUUCCUCCUUCCUGAUGAACCGUAAUGCCAUUAAUUUGGUUCAUA
rnacentral:rRNA from 1 species